rnacentral:rRNA from 1 species
GUGCCAGUAGCCGCGGUAAUACGGAGGGGGCUAGCGUUGUUCGGAAUUACUGGGCGUAAAGCGUACGUAGGCGGCUUUGUAAGUUAGAGGUGAAAGCCCAGAGCUCAACUCUGGAAUUGCCUUUAAGACUGCAUCGCUUGAAUCGUGGAGAGGUUAGUGGAAUUCCGAGUGUAGAGGUGAAAUUCGUAGAUAUUCGGAAGAACACCAGUGGCGAAGGCGACUAACUGGACACGUAUUGACGCUGAGGUACGAAAGCGUGGGGAGCAAACAGGAUUAGAAACCCCGGUAGUCC